AUUUUAAAGCUUUAAUUUAACUUUAAUUGUAUCAUAAAUCUCAAUAGAACUAACUGUGCAUCCAAAUCUAUACAAAAAUAAACCGAUAGUCUUGCUUUCUCAACCAUUACAAACAGAAAAAAGCAUAUAGUGCCAUCUACAAAUGCUUGAUAACUCAACUACCUCAUUUUGUACUGAACAAUAUUAUUACCACUGGUUUGUUAGGAAAAUUCUACACUUGCAGUACCACAUCAUCAUUCUACAAGAAUCCAGAAGCACUUCAGCUCUGCUAAUAACAGAGGAAGUGUGUAAUUAAACA